rnacentral:rRNA from 1 species
GACGAACGCUGGCGGCGUGCUUAACACAUGCAAGUCGAACGGAAAGGCCCUGCUUGCAGGGUGCUCGAGUGGCGAACGGGUGAGUAACACGUGGGUGAUCUGCCCCUUACUUUGGGAUAAGCCUGGGAAACUGGGUCUAAUACUGGAUAGGACCAUGCUGUAGGUGGUGUGGUGGAAAGAUUUUUUCGGUAAGGGAUGAGCUCGCGGCCUAUCAGCUUGUUGGUGGGGUAAUGGCCUACCAAGGCGUCGACGGGUAGCCGGCCUGAGAGGGUGGACGGCCACAUUGGGACUGAGAUACGGCCCAGACUCCUACGGGAGGCAGCAGUGGGGAAUAUUGCACAAUGGGCGCAAGCCUGAUGCAGCGACGCCGCGUGGGGGAUGACGGCCUUCGGGUUGUAAACUCCUUUCAGCCAUGACGAAGCCUCUUUUGGGGUGACGGUAGUGGUAGAAGAAGCACCGGCUAACUACGUGCCAGCAGCCGCGGUAAUACGUAGGGUGCGAGCGUUGUCCGGAAUUACUGGGCGUAAAGAGCUCGUAGGUGGUCUGUCGCGUCAUUUGUGAAAGCCCGGUGCUUAACUCCGGGUUGGCAGGUGAUACGGGCAUGACUGGAGUACUGUAGGGGAGACUGGAAUUCCUGGUGUAGCGGUGAAAUGCGCAGAUAUCAGGAGGAACACCGGUGGCGAAGGCGGGUCUCUGGGCAGUAACUGACGCUGAGGAGCGAAAGCAUGGGUAGCGAACAGG